GUUUUUAGAAAUAUAAAUGAGUCCAUGUAUAUGUCCUUAAUAUUGUCUAAGUGACUAAAAGUUUGGUUAUGGGAAACGCAUCAACAUGGCAGACGCCUUGUUGCCAUGGCUGCUGAAUAGAUGGAGCUUGCGUCGAGUCGCUCUGCCGGGGCCUCAUGCACCCCAAGGAUAGCAAGUGAUAAAGUAGAAAUUCAUAGUUUAUUUUUCAAAUCACGGAAUAAAUCUGCACGUAUAAAGCAAAGAACCGCAUGUGGCUCGCGAGCUCAGUUAAUCCGAUCAUAGUUUCCUAAAAGUCCUGUACAAAUGCAUAACCAAAGUAGGAUGACUCAUGCUAUCUUUCUAAUAAGUGCUGGCAACAGUAUUUUAUGACAGAUAUGACAUUAGUAGCUUAAGUUUAUAACACUAGACGGCGCCAAUUUUAUCAGAACAAAUUACAUUGUUAUUAACUAUAGGUAAUCGGUGAUUUACACCCUUAAUUUUGUGUAAAGAAAUAAAACACAUU